rnacentral:rRNA from 1 species
ACGAAGGGUGCAAGCGUUACUCGGAAUUACUGGGCGUAAAGCGUGCGUAGGCGGUUUGUUAAGUCUGUCGUGAAAGCCCCGGGCUCAACCUGGGAAUGGCGGUGGAUACUGGCAGGCUAGAGUACGGUAGAGGAUGGUGGAAUUCCCGGUGUAGCAGUGAAAUGCGUAGAGAUCGGGAGGAACAUCUAUGGCGAAGGCAGCCAUCUGGACCAGUACUGACGCUGAGGCACGAAAGCGUGGGGAGCAAACAGGAUUAGAUACCCUGGUAGUCCACGCCCUAAACGAUGCGAACUGGACGUUGGGCUCAAUUGAGAGCUCAGUGUCGAAGCUAACGCGUUAAGUUCGCCGCCUGGGGAGUACGGUCGCAAGACUG